UUUUAUUGAAAGCAAUAAGCAAGUCUGCAUGUUUUCCCAGGGGGGCAGGAAGGUUACAACAUCUCAAGGGUUAUCAACUGCACAAGCCAUCUUGAGAAAUGGUACAGAAAAAAGGAGCCAUCAGGGUAGCCUUGGCACACCCGGGAAGUUGUGUAGGACCACAGGAGGAGCAAGGGGGAUGAUAUCUUUAUAGAUCAUGGAUAUUCUAUAUAGAUAAUACUUAUCUAGAUUUGGUUGUCAUGGUCUGAAUAGCAAUUAUGUAUUACCAUGUUUAAUAUACUGUUACAUCUCAAUUAAAUUAGUUAAAAAUUAAUAUAGUAGAAAUUCUGUAAGGUGGGCUCCAUGAUUCUCACUUCUUGGUAUUCAUGCCCCUCUAUCAUCCACUCCUGAGUGGGCAUGGGACCUGUGACUUGCUUCUAACCAACAGAAUGUAGCAAAUGUAAUGGGCUGUCACUUCCAUGGUUAUCAUAUGUUAAGUAUGACUGUCUUGCUGGCAGUCUCACUCUAGAAACUAUUAUCUGGGCUGACGGAGUAAGCAGCUGUGUUGGGGACACCCAUGUAGCAAGGGACUUGGGGCAGCCUCUAGGAAAUGAUGGUAGCCUCUGCCCAGCAAGAAGCCAGAUUUUCAUUUUUCAGUCCUGUGUCUGCAAAGGAAUGAAUUCUGCCAACAGCCUAAGUGAACUUGGAAGUAACUCAUGUUCCAUCCCCAGACGAGAAGGUAGUGUAGCUAAAACCUUUAUUGAAGUCCAAGAGACCCUAAGCUGAGGCCCAGACUCCUAACCAGCAGAAACUUUGAGGUAAUAAAUGCAAGUUGUUUUAAUCACUAAAUGUGUACUAUUUUUUUCCCACAGCAAUGGAUAACAAGUACACUCCAAUAAUUCAACAUGUAUCAAUGAUAUCCUUUAAGAAUAGUAACUGCUAUUUUAAUGAAUGGCAAAUGAUCAAUAGGAUGUUCUGAUGUUGAAAACACCUUAUAAUUUCAUUUUGUGUGUAAUCUUUUAAAAUUGUAUUAUCAUCUAAAUUUAAUUUUCAUAGAAAAGUAUUAUCUAAACCAUCUGAAAAAAGUGACCACCAAUGAUUUUUAACUUCUUAUGAUAAAACCUGCCAUAGUGAGUACAGAUUCAUUAAAUAGUGAUGGCUCUGAGCUGUUGCUGCUGAGGAUACAUUUAGAACUUAACACAGCUGAUGUCGUGGUCCUUGGCCAUGGGAGAAUUUGCCAUCAGUCCAGAUGCCAAUUAGAAAAGGAAUCUUUUGAUUACAGGGAAAUGCCUAUAACCUGAAGUAUUGUUUUCUUGGGGAUAGCAAGUAUAAGUGGCAACCAACAUUUGCAGAGCUUAUUGGAAAAAAUUAACCUUCACAGAAAUCAGCUUUUGAAGACUAAUGGCUUUCAACAAAUGGUAAAUGAGUUUCAAUUCAAGAAGAAUCUAUCAAAAACAUAUUGAGGGUGAGGCACCAACAGAGACACCAAGAAAAAGAAAGUAGAUCAGCAGAAUAUGGGAAAGGAAGAAUAGAUAUCCAACCAGAAAAGAGGCUGAGUCCAGGCAUUCAUACCAGUUCCUUAUUAAGGAAAAUCCGUAAACUAAAAUCAAAAUAUAUUUACAUAAUAUUGAGAUUUAUUGAUUACAAUUAUGUAUAAGCUAACAUUUACUAAAUUGCAAGCUAGUUUUUUUGUGGGGAUUUAGCUGUUCUCAGCAAAUAAUUUUAUCAUUUUAAUAACAUCCCAAGUUAAAACAUGAUAAUAGUUACUGUCAUAUUUAGAUCGUUGGCCUAGGUAGUACUUAUUUGACUAUUAUAAUCUAGGCCAUGUUGCUAAAUACUUGAAUAUUUUUUAAUGAUUUGCAAACAUGUUUACUCUCCUGGUGAUCAACUUGGGAUCUAUUAUUAUUAUGUUUUGCCCAUAAGAGAAUUGACUCACAUAGUGUGAAUAUCAGAGUUAAAAUCAUAAAAAUGUUUGAAAGAAAAGUUGCAGCCAUCAUAACAUAUCUGUAAGCUGUCACUUACAGCUUACAUUUUCGUCUAAAUUUUGCAGUAAGUUUUUCUAAGCCUAAAAAGCUUUGAUUGAGGUUAAGUCAUAUAUUCUGAGGUACUUUGGAACACUACACAAACUUUAGGGUGUGAAUUACUUCUCCCCUGGAAAGGAUCUCAUUCACUGAUUGCUCAUUAGCCAAUCUUGGGAGGCAUAAUUUCACUGUAUGCAUCUUUGCAUAUAUUUUCUAAAGCGCACAGUUUCAGAUUUACUACAACAUUAGAGUUCUUUGCUGUGCUUACACUGAUAACCCUGGGUCUGGAUAAAAUACUUGGUUGUUUGUUUUCAUUCUUUGCAGUUGUAAAAAACACAGGUGUUGGAUCAUUUCUCUUUUCACUGUCAGGCUUCAGUGAGUACUGCCCUUUCUGCAAUGCAAUAAUUAGGCAAGGGAUCAUUUCACUCCCUUUAAUCUUUGAAGAUGAGGUAAAGCAGGACAAGAUGGAAUUUUCAGCAAAGAGGCUAAGAAAAUAUUGUAGAAACAUGUCUCGUGACAAGUACUUCAUUUCUUUUUGUUACCAAAUAACAUUUUAUUUAUCCAAUCAUCAGAUGAUGGACAUGUAGGUUGUUUUUGCUUUUUGGCUGUUAUGAACAUAUGUGUACACACUUUUUUGUGGAGAUAUAGAUUCAUUUCUCUAGGAGUGGGAUUGAUGGAUUAUAAGGUAGCUGUUUAAUCAUCUGAGGAAAUGCCAAAGUUUUCUAAAGUGACUGCACCAUUUUACAUCCCUACCUUUAGUGUAUAAACGUUCCAGUUUCUCUACAACCUCACCAACACUUGUCUUAAUAAUAGCAUCUGAGCGGGUGUGAGGUGGUAUUUCACCGUGAUUUGGAUUCUUAUAUCCCUCAUGACUAGUGAUGUUGAGAGUCUUUUCAGGUGCUUUUCUUUACACUCUGACCAUGUGCUCUUUUUCAGAAAAAGCUCCAUGUUGUUUAGGGAGUAGAGGAUCAAAAUAGUGAUAUAUGUUGUAUGAGGUUAUUUGAGUGUGUUUUUGUGUCUCUGUGAUGGUAUUACGUCCUAAUCCAUGCAAGAUUAUCUCUACUGGUGAGAAGAUUUCUAUUUUGGAAAGAAUGAAGUACAGAAGAGUUAAAGGAAAACAAAGUAAAAGAGAGCAAUUCAAAAAUCACAGAGAAAACUGAGGGUUAAGUUUAGGAAUGCAAGAAUCCAAAAGUUAGAGAGAACAUGUUAAAAAUCCAAGGUGAAGCAAAAUGUGUGUUUUCUGGGAAAUGGAUGAAAUAUCUUUUGCAACCCCUUAUUGACCAUUAGAGUCUUAGAGAAUUAGAGAGUUGCCAGUUGGAGAAUUGGCCAAUUUAUAGGUACAGUGUCAUUGAGAACAAUUAAGUGUUUAAAGUCUCCAUUUUAUACCUUGCAUUAGGUACUUUAGGGCUACAGAAUAUCCUUCCACUCCCAAAAAAUAAAGAAAAGAAAGAAAGAACCAGAAGGAGGCUUACGAUUAUAUUCUGUCUGAACCUGCUAGUGCUGAUGUGUGCUGACAACAGACAGGUCAGAAACAUAAAGCUGAAAACCCACAGGUAAACUGGAGGAUGGAAAAGAUGUGGGAAUUGUGAUGAUUGAUAAUAGGGCUCAGAUUGUCAUCAAUAUAAUGUCUGGGAAAAGACAUAUCAUUGCUCUCCAAGGUUAAAAGAAAAAUCCAAAACUAAAACUAAGUGAUAUUAGUGUGAAGUCCAAGGACAAAACAAAACAAAUAGAUGAGCAACAAAAUGUAGCAGGCAGCAAGUUCAAAUUAUUUACAACACUUAAAAGUUAAAGAUCCUGGUGUUCCUGCUGUAGUGCAACAGGAUCCAUGGCUUCCCUGAAGUGCCAGGAUGCAGGUUCAAUCCCCAGCCUGGUACAGUGGGUUAAAGGAUCCGGUAUUGCAAUUCCAGGGUACACCAAUGGGGUGCUCCAUAUGCUGCAGGGCAACCAAAAAGAAAAAAAGUUAAAGGUCCUGACCACACAUACAUUUUUGUCUCUUUAAAGAGUCAUCUCCCUAAGUAUAGUCACACAACGAUAAUGAAUUUUAAUCCCCCAUUUCCUGGAUGAGGAAUUAAGGAUCAAAGAAACUAAGGAGAUUAUCCAAUUAAGCUAAUACUGGCUAUAUUAAUAGACAUAGAACUAGAACUGAGAUCUAAUCCCAAAUAAAGUGAUUUUCCUAUUUCCUAUUGCUACCUUUUCAAGCCAAUAGCAAGUUAGGUCUAGCUCUUUAUGCUAUAAAAUGGGGAGAGAAUAUUUGAUAAGAAUAUGAUUAAUUUAGGGUUAACAAACUCUUUUUUUUUUUUUUUGUCUUUUUUGCCAUUUUUCUUGGGCCGCUCCCUUGGCAUAUGGAGGUUCACAGGCUAGGGGUCUAAUCAGAGCUGCAGCUGCUGGCCUACACCACAGCCACAGCAACGCAGGAUCUGAGCCACGUCUGCGACCUACACCACAGCUCAUGGCAAUGCCGGAUCCUUAACCCACUGAGCAAGGCCAGGGACUGAACCCGAAACCUCAUGGUUCCUAGUCGGAUUCGUUAACCACUGGGCCACGAUGGGAACUCCAUAGGGCUAACAAACUCUAUAAUUCAGUUUCUCUUUCUCUAUUUCCCAGUUUACUCUGUAACUAUCAACUCAAGAAAAUGAUGGACUUGGAGAAGAGACUUGUGGCUGCCUGAUGGCAGGGGGAGGGAGUGGGAGGGAUCGGGAGCUUGGGCUUAUCAGACACAAUUUAGAAUAGAUUUACAAGGAGAUCCUGCUGAAUAGCAUUGAGAACUAUGUCUAGAUACUCAUGUUGCAACAGAACAAAGGGUGGGGGAAAAAAUGUAAUUGUAAUGUAUACAUGUAAGGAUAACCUGACCCCCUUGCUGUACAGUGGGAAAAUAAAAA
rnacentral:lncRNA from 1 species